rnacentral:antisense_RNA from 1 species
GGAGACUCUGGCCGCGGCGAUUCAAUAUAUCCGGAAGCAACUGUCAUGGCUGCUGUCAGUGAGGGCCCGUAAUGGAGAUCGAGUCAAGGGUUGCCCAGGGACACUUAAGAGCCUUCGGCUUCAAGGAGGCCUCUCAAAGGACAAAGGAUGAGACUGCCUGGCGGCAGAGUGCCCCCCACAAUCGUAGGAACUGUGUCGCCGCGCUUCCCGUUAACUUGCCGCUAAGUUUUUCUAGAAAAGUCGCCCUUCUUGCCAGGGGUGUCCUAUAGACUUUGUCAUGGAGUGAAACAGAAACAAAUGGAUUCCCAAGAGCUUUGAAUGAAGACAUUUAAGAUUACUUCUAGUACCUUGCUUGUCAAACCCAUGGUGGAUGUAAUUAACCAUCUGUGCUCGUAAAUCAGGAAACUGCAAAACUGUGAGAACACUCCGACGUCAAUUGAGGUGACAUGGGGGCUGAAAUGUGAUUAGAGGAAACCUAAUCAAUUGUAUUUUAACCUCUUUGGUGGAUUAUCACAAAAGAGGUGGAUGGUAACCCUAGGACAGUGAGACUGCCCACUUUUCUGAGACUGGAGAUCAAUCUCUUAAUAGUAAAACGUAAAUAUUUUUAAAACUUCACCCCUUUUACUUUGAAUCCUUUGUCCAAAAAGAUACAUGAUGAUAAAGAACUACUACAAAGUGAUAAAUACAUGUUAUGUGAUUCUGGGUGGCAUCUUCAUCCAUUUGAAGAUCAUCAGCAGACAUGUAUAUGAGCC